CUCUCUCUUUCCUCAAACACAAUUUUGUGUUUAUAUCACUGAACCAAACUUUGACAAUCAAUGUAUAGCAACCCUCAACUAAAUCAACUUGAUCAAACCCCACCAUCUCAAUGAAAAUGCAUAAAUCGAGUCCUAUGGUUGCUUUCCUCAUGCAUUGCGUCCCAUAGCAUAUAAGAAGACACAAAUUGGUGCCUCAACUCAAUCACUUAAACUCUCAUCUGUCGGCCAACUCCAUACCCCAUCAUUAUCUACAAGAAUCUAACUCCUACAAAUAUUCUACAACACUCUCUGAUCUCUCUCAGUUCCAUUUCAAAAACCAUGUCCUCCCUCUGCUUCUGGUGCUCUGCGGCCGUCGCCACCGCUGUUGCUCUCUCCAUCCUUGUCUUUUUUCAAUUCUUUCUGAAGAAUAAGUCACCGUCUUCGCGGAUUUCUCAUGCCGGUACUCCUCCUGGAAGCAGAGGAUUGCCUUUCAUUGGAGAGACGCUGCAGUUCAUGGCCGCUGUUAACUGUAGCAGCGGCGUUUAUGAUUUCGUCAGAAUCCGCUGCCUCCGGUACGGGGGGUGUUUUAAGACUCGGAUAUUUGGGGAAACACAUGUGUUUGUAUCAAACACGGAAUGGGCGAAGCUUAUACUGAAUGAUGGGGGAGGAAGGUUCACUAAAAAGUAUAUAAAGUCCAUUGUUGAGUUAGUCGGCCAUCAAAGUUUACUCUGUGCUCCACAUUUACACCACAAAUUCUUACGAAGUCGUCUCAUCAAUCUUUUCUCUUCUUGCUUUUUGGCCUCUUUUGUUCCACAAUUCGAUCGACAAAUCGUUGAGACGUUUCAAAGAUGGGAGAGUGGAUUCACCGUUUUCGUUCUCACGGAAGCCCUCAAGAUAACAUGUAAAGCAAUGUGUAAGAUGUUAAUAAGCUUAGAGGAGGAAAACGAAGUAGAGAUGAUACAAAAAGACGUUGGAUAUGUUUGUGAAGCCAUGCUUGCAUUCCCAUGGCGGUUUCCAGGGACAAGAUUCGAUGCAGGCCUCAAGGCAAGAAGGAGAAUUAUAAAGAAACUAAAAAACAUAAUUCAGAAGAGACGAGAAUUAGAGUCCCAGUAUGAAGAUUUCCUACAACGGUUGUUGAUGGAAGAAGACAACGGAGAACCACUAUCAGAUAUGGAGAUAGGAGAUAAUAUAUUGACGAUGUUGAUUGCAGGACAAGACACAACAGCAAGUGCUAUCACUUGGAUGGUGAAAUUCUUGGAUGAGAACCAAGAUGUGCUUCAAAACCUAAAGGAGGAACAAUUUAAAAUAUUGGAGGAACAACGAGAAGAUAAUAGAAGUUUUCUUACAUUAGAAGAUGUUGCCAACAUGUCUUACGCUACCAAGGUAGUAAAAGAAUCCUUGAGGUUAGCAUCUAUUGUUCCAUGGUUGCCGAGGCUAAUCCUUCACGACACUGAUAUUCAAGAUUACAAAAUCAAGAAAGGUUGGAAUGUUAACAUUGAUGUGAGAUCACUACACUCAGAUCCUUCUAUCUACAAAGAUCCUAUUAAGUUUAUUCCAUCCAGGAAGAAACAAAGGCAUUUAGCUUUCUAGCCUUUGGGAUGGGAGGGAGGCAGUGUCUAGGGAUGAAUCUAGCCAAAGCCAUGAUGCUUGUCUUUCUUCACCGCUUGCUUACUUCUUUCAGAUGGAAAGUGAUGGACUGUGACUCCAGCAUUGAGAAGUGGGCGCUUUUUACCAAAUUAAAGAGCGGUUGUCCAAUUCUCAUCACACCUCUUCAAUCUUCAUAAAUUAAACUAUGUGCCCUCUAUUAACAUUGUUAAUCAUUUCACCCUUUUUUAUUUUUAUAUAUAAUCAUUGUAUAUAAAAUAAUCAAAAACCACAACUUCCUUUAGUUUUCGCACCGUACGUAAAUCAUAUUACAAUAACUAUUACAAUUGUAUUUUCAAAUUUAUAAAAACCUUGGCACUUAAAA